rnacentral:rRNA from 1 species
ACGUAGGGGGCAAGCGUUGUCCGGAUUUAUUGGGCGUAAAGAGCGUGUAGGCGGCCGCACAGGUCCGUUGUGAAAACUGGAGGCUUAACCUUCAGACGUCGAUGGAAACCGUGCGGCUAGAGUCCGGAAGAGGAGAAUGGAAUUCCUGGUGUAGCGGUGAAAUGCGCAGAUAUCAGGAAGAACACCCGUGGCUAAGGCGGUUCUCUAGUACGGUACUGACGCUGAGACGCGAAAGCGUGGGGAGCGAACAGGA